rnacentral:rRNA from 1 species
AAUGGGGGCAACACUGAUGGAGCAACGCCGCGUGCAGGAGGAAGGCCUUCGGGUUGUAAACUGCUUUUAUUUGUGACGAUUUUGACAGUAGCAAAUGAAUAAGGAUCGGCUAACUCCGUGCCAGCAGCCGCGGUCAUACGGGGGAUCCAAGCGUUAUCCGGAAUUACUGGGCGUAAAGAGUUGCGUAGGUGGCAAGCUAAGUCUUCGUUUAAAUAUCAAGGCUCAACCUUGGGAAAGGCGAGGAAACUGGCUAGCUUGAGCAUAGUAGAGGUAACUGGAAUUUCUAGUGUAGGAGUGAAAUCCGUAGAUAUUAGAAGGAACACCGAUGGCGUAGGCAGGUUACUGGGCUAUUGCUGACACUAAGGCACGAAAGCGUGGGGAGCGAACGGGAUUAGAUACCCCGGUAGUCCACGCCCUAAACGAUGCAUGCUAGCUGUUAUCAGUAUCGACCCUGGUAGUAGCGAAGCUAACGCGUUAAGCAUGCCGCCUGGGGAGUACGA